rnacentral:rRNA from 1 species
UACGUAGGGUGCAAGCGUUGUCCGGAAUUAUUGGGCGUAAAGAGCUCGUAGGCGGCUUGUCACGUCGGCUGUGAAAACCUGGGGCUCAACCCCGGGCCUGCAGCCGAUACGGGCAGACUAGAAUUCGGUAGGGGAGUCUGGAAUUCCUGGUGUAGCGGUGAAAUGCGCAGAUAUCAGGAGGAACACCGGUGGCGAAGGCGGGACUCUGGGCCGAUACUGACGCUGAGGAGCGAAAGCGUGGGGAGCAAACAGG